rnacentral:rRNA from 1 species
UAAGGAAUAUUGCUCAAUGGGAGAAAUCCUGAAGCAGCAACGCCGCGUGGAGGAUGAAGGGUCUAUGACUUGUAAACUCCUGUAAAGAAGGAAAAAAUUCCCAUUAGAUGGGAGAUGAUGGUACUUCUGGAGUAAGCCCCGGCUAACUACGUGCCAGCAGCCGCGGUAAUACGUAGGGGGCAAGCGUUGUCCGGAUUUACUGGGUGUAAAGGGUGCUCAGGCGGAUUUGUAAGUCAGAGGUGAAAUCUUACAGCUUAACUGUGAAACUGCCUUUGAUACUGCAAGCCUAGAGUAUGGAAGAGAGUGAUGGAAUAUCUGGUGUAGCAGUCAAAUGCGUAGAUAUCAGAUAGAACACCAAUGGCGAAGGCAGUCACUUGGUCCAUUACUGACGCUAAAGCACGAAAGCGUGGGUAGCAAACA